UACAGAGACCUCAAGCGUUAUCCGGUAUUAUUGGGCGUAAAGUGUUCAUAGGUUGCUAAAUGUGUCUUGUGUGAAAGACCGGAGCUCAACUCCGUGUUUGCAUAGGAAACUGUUUAGCUUGAAGAGUAAAGGGGUGGCUAGAAUUCUACAAGUAGCGGUGAAAUGCGUUGAUAUGUAGGAGAAUACCAAAAGCGUAGGCAGGCCACUGGGUACUUCUUGACACUGCAUGAACGAAAGCGUGGGUAGCGAAUGGG
rnacentral:rRNA from 1 species